AUAACGGCCCUUUUGAGGGCCAUCUUAAAAAGGAUUGUUGAUGGAGU
rfam:Hydatigera taeniaeformis genome assembly, scaffold: TTAC_scaffold0006227